rnacentral:rRNA from 1 species
UACGUAGGCAGCAAGCGUUGUUCGGAGUUACUGGGCGUAAAGGGUGCGUAGGUGGCUCUAUAAGUAUGGUGUGAAAUCUCCCGGCUUAACUGGGAGGGUGCGCCGUAGACUGUGGGGCUAGAGUGUGGGAGAGGAAAGUGGAAUUCCUGGUGUAGCGGUGAAAUGCGCAGAUAUCAGGAGGAACACCGAUGGCGAAGGCAGCUCGCUGGGACGGUACUGACGCUGGAGGCGACGAAAGCCGUGGGGAGCAAACAGG